UAGGGAAUUUUCGGCAAUGGGGGCAACCCUGACCGAGCAAUGCCGCGUGAACGAUGAAGGUCUUCGGAUUGUAAAGUUCUGUUGUUUAAGAAGAAUUGUACUAAUAGGAAAUGAUUAGUAUUUGACGUUAUUAAACUAGAAAGCCCCGGCUAACUAUGUGCCAGCAGCCGCGGUAAUACAUAGGGGGCAAGCGUUAUCCGGAAUUAUUGGGCGUAAAGAGUGCGUAGGCGGUCUAUUAAGUCUGGUGUGAAAUCCCACAGCUUAACUGUGGAGGGUCAUUGGAAACUGGUAGGCUAGAGUGUGGUAGAGGCAAGUGGAAUUCCAAGUGGAGCGGUGGAAUGCGUAGAUAUUUGGAGGAACACCAAUGGCGAAGGCAGCUUGCUGGGCCAUUACUGACGCUGAUGCACGAAAGCGUGGGGAGCAAACAGGAUUAGAUACCCUGGU
rnacentral:rRNA from 1 species